GCCCUAGUAACGGCGAGUGAAGCGGCAACAGCUCAAAUUUGAAAUCUGGCCUUCUUUGGGGGUCCGAGUUGUAAUUUGCAGAGGGCGCUUUGGCGUCGGCAGCGGUCUAAGUUCCUUGGAACAGGACGUCACAGAGGGUGAGAAUCCCGUACGUGGUCGCCUGCCUUCGCCGUGUAAAGCCCCUUCGACGAGUCGAGUUGUUUGGGAAUGCAGCUCUAAAUGGGAGGUAAAUUUCUUCUAAAGCUAAAUACUGGCCAGAGACCGAUAGCGCACAAGUAGAGUGAUCGAAAGAUGAAAAGCACUUUGGAAAGAGAGUCAAACAGCACGUGAAAUUGUUGAAAGGGAAGCGCUUGCCGCCAGACUUGCCCGUGAAGGUUCUCCUCCUCGGGCAGGCCAGCAUCAGUUUGAGCGAUCGGAUAAUGGCCUCUGUCAUGUAUCUUCCUUCGGGAUGACCUUAUAGGGGAGUCGUAGUACGGUCAGCUCGGACUGAGGUCCGCGCAUUUGCUAGGAUGCUGGCGUAAUGGCUGCAAGCGGCCCGUCUUGAAACACGGACCAAGGAGUCUAACAUCUAUGCGAGUGUUUGGGUGUCAAGCCCGAGCGCGCAAUGAAAGUGAACGGAGGUGGGAACCCUCUCUGGGGGUGCACCAUCGACCGAUCCUGAAGUCUUCGGAUGGAUUUGAGUAAGAGCAUGGCUGUUGGGACCCGAAAGAUGGUGAACUAUGCUUGAAUAGGGUGAAGCCAGAGGAAACUCUGGUGGAGGCUCGCAGCGGUUCUGA
rnacentral:rRNA from 1 species